UCAACGGAAGAAUUGCAUCUGAAACUGCAAUUCUUGAGUGUAGGAGGGGAGAAUGGAACUUCUGGUGGAGCGGCGAAAUGCGUAGAUAUCAGAAGGAACGCCGGCGGCGAAAGCGAUUCUCUGGCCUAUUACUGACACUCAGUGUGCGAAAGCUAGGGGAGCAAACGGGAUUAGAUACCCCGGUAGUCCUAGCCGUAAACGAUGGGCACUAAGUAGAGGGAAUUACCGAUGUUCUCUCUGCCGUAGCUAACGCAUUAAGUGCCCCGCCUGGGGAGUACGGCCGCAAGGCUAAAACUCAAAAGAAUUGACGGGGGCUCGCACAAGCGGUGGAGCAUGUGGCUUAAUUCGAUGCAACGCGAAGAACCUUACCGGGGCUUGACAUGGUAGAAGUAGGAACCCGAAAGGGUAACGAACGGUAUCCAGUCCGUAGCUAUCACAGGUGUUGCAUGGCUGUCGUCAGCUCGUGUCGUGAGACGUUGGGUUAAGUCCCCUAACGAGCGAAACCCUUGUUUUUAGUUACCAGCGGGUUGUGCCGGGUACUCUAGAAAGACUGCCGUCGUCAAGACGGAGGAAGGUGGGGAUGACGUCAAGCCAUCAUGGCCCUUAUGCCCCGGGCUGCACACGUGCUACAAUGGUCGGUACAAACGGAAGCGAAGCCGAGAGGUGAAGCGAAUCCAAGC
rnacentral:rRNA from 1 species